rnacentral:rRNA from 1 species
UACGUAUGGUGCAAGCGUUAUCCGGAUUUACUGGGUGUAAAGGGAGCGCAGGCGGCACGGCAAGCCUGAUGUGAAAGCCCGCGGCCCAACCGCGGGACUGCAUUGGGAACUACCGGGCUGGAGUGCCGGAGAGGUAGGCGGAGUUCCUAGUGUAGCGGUGAAAUGCGUAGAUAUUAGGAGGAACACCAGUGGCGAAGGCGGCCUACUGGACGGUGACUGACGCUGAGGCUCGAAAGCGUGGGGAGCAAACAGG